rnacentral:rRNA from 1 species
GCGAACGGGUGAGUAAUACAUCGGAACGUACCCAGUAGUGGGGGAUAGCUCGGCGAAAGCCGGGAUUAAUACCGCAUACGACCUAUGGGUGGAAGCGGGGGAUCGCAAGACCUCGCGCUAUUGGAGCGGCCGAUGUCGGAUUAGCUAGUUGGUGAGGUAAAGGCUCACCAAGGCUACGAUCCGUAGCUGGUCUGAGAGGACGACCAGCCACACUGGGACUGAGACACGGCCCAGACUCCUACGGGAGGCAGCAGUGGGGAAUUUUGGACAAUGGGCGAAAGCCUGAUCCAGCCAUGCCGCGUGUGUGAAGAAGGCCUUCGGGUUGUAAAGCACUUUUGUCCGGAACGGAAACGCCAAGGGCGAAUACUCCUUGGUAAUGACGGUACCGGAAGAAUAAGCACCGGCUAACUACGUGCAGCAGCCGCGGUAAUACGUAGGGUGCAAGCGUUAAUCGGAAUUACUGGGCGUAAAGCGUGCGCAGGCGGUUCCGCAAGUCAGAUGUGCAAAUCCCCGGGCUUACCUGGAACUGCAUUGGAAACUACGGGGCUAGAGUGUGUCCAGAGGGGGGUGGAAUUCCACGUUGUAGCAGUGAAUGC